UCUCUGUGCUCCAGGAUGGGUUCUGCCAUACUCUUCACUCUCCUCCUGGCUGUUCUCCCAGGCGUCUGUGCCCAGGUGCAGCUGGUGCAGUCAUGGACAGAGGUGAGACGGCCCGGGGAGUCUCUGAUGACCUGCAAGGCAUCUGGAUACAGCUUCACAAGCUCCUAUGUGCACUGGGUGUGCCAGAAGACCAGGAAGGGACUGGAGUGGGUGGGGAGAAUCAAUCCUAGUAAUUCUGAUACCAGGUAUAGCCCGGCCUUCCAAGGCCAUGUUACUAUCUCCACCGACAACUCCAUCAGCACCUCUUUCCUGCGGUGGAGCAGCCUGAAGGCAGAGGACACGGCCGUGUAUUUCUGCGCUAGGGAUACAGCGGCGGAACUGCAAUGA